AUGGCACUACCGAUCCCGUUCCCCAGUCCGCCGCCGGCCACCACGAAACGACGCGGCACUGUGCCCAGGGUCAGCACGUGCUGCUUCAACGACCCAGAGAUGAAGCGGCGGCGGCGGGUGGCGGGGUACAAGGCGUACGCGGUGAAGGGGAAGGUGAAGGCCUCGCUCCGCCGGGGGCUCCGGUGGUUCAAGCGCAAGUGCUCCGGCAUCUUCCAUUUCUGA
rnacentral:rRNA from 1 species